UGGGGAAUAUUGGACAAUGGGCGAAAGCCUGAUCCAGCCAUGCCGCGUGUGUGAAGAAGGUCUUCGGAUUGUAAAGCACUUUAAGUUGGGAGGAAGGGCAGUAAGUUAAUACCUUGCUGUUUUGACGUUACCGACAGAAUAAGCACCGGCUAACUCUGUGCCAGCAGCCGCGGUAAUACAGAGGGUGCAAGCGUUAAUCGGAAUUACUGGGCGUAAAGCGCGCGUAGGUGGUUUUGUAAGUUGGAUGUGAAAGCCCCGGGCUCAACCUGGGAACUGCAUCCAAAACUGGCAAGCUAGAGUACGGUAGAGGGUGGUGGAAUUUCCUGUGUAGCGGUGAAAUGCGUAGAUAUAGGAAGGAACACCAGUGGCGAAGGCGACCACCUGGACUGAUACUGACACUGAGGUGCGAAAGCGUGGGGAGCAAACA
rnacentral:rRNA from 1 species